rnacentral:rRNA from 1 species
GGAGUAGCAAUACUCCGGAAGACCUAGUGGCGAACGGGUGCGUAACACGUGAGGAACCUACCCCGGUCUCUGGGAUAACAGUUGGAAACGACUGCUAAUACCGGAUGCCGUCGGAGCGUCGCAUGGCGCACUGACGAAAGGGUUACCGGAUCGGGAGGGUCUCGCGGCCUAUCAGCUUGUUGGUGGGGUAAUGGCCUACCAAGGCAUCGACGGGUAGCUGGUCUGAGAGGAUGAUCAGCCACACUGGGACUGAGACACGGCCCAGACUCCUACGGGAGGCAGCAGUGGGGAAUCUUGCGCAAUGGGCGAAAGCCUGACGCAGCAACGCCGCGUGCGGGAAGAAGGCUCUCGGGUUGUAAACCGCUUUCAGCAGGAACGAAAAUGACGGUACUUGCAGAAGAAGGUGCGGCCAACUACGUGCCAGCAGCCGCGGUGACACGUAGGCACCAAGCGUUGUCCGGAUUUAUUGGGCGUAAAGAGCUCGUAGGCGGUUCGGUAAGUCGGGUGUGAAAACUUUGGGCUCAACCCAAAGCCUGCACCCGAUACUGCUGUGACUAGAGUUCGGUAGGGGAGUGGGGAAUUCCUAGUGUAGCGGUGAAAUGCGCAGAUAUUAGGAGGAACACCGGUGGCGAAGGCGCCACUCUGGGCCGAAACUGACGCUGAGAAGCGAAAGCGUGGGUAGCAAACAGGAUUAGAUACCCUGGUAGUCCACGCCGUAAACGUUGGGCACUAGGUGUGGGUUUCAACCAACGAGAUCCGCGCCGUCGCUAACGCAUUAAGU